rnacentral:rRNA from 2 species
UUAAGUUAUUAAGGGCGCACGGUGGAUGCCUUGGCACUAGAAGCCGAUGAAGGACGUUACUAACGACGAUAUGCUUUGGGGAGCUGUAAGUAAGCUUUGAUCCAGAGAUUUCCGAAUGGGGAAACCCAGCAUGAGUUAUGUCAUGUUAUCGAUAUGUGAAUACAUAGCAUAUCAGAAGGCAUACCCGGAGAACUGAAACAUCUUAGUACCCGGAGGAAGAGAAAGAAAAUUCGAUUCCCUUAGUAGCGGCGAGCGAAACGGGAAGAGCCCAAACCAACAAGCUUGCUUGUUGGGGUUGUAGGACACUCUAUACGGAGUUACAAAGGACGACAUUAGACGAAUCAUCUGGAAAGAUGAAUCAAAGAAGGUAAUAAUCCUGUAGUCGAAAAUGUUGUCUCUCUUGAGUGGAUCCUGAGUACGACGGAGCACGUGAAAUUCCGUCGGAAUCUGGGAGGACCAUCUCCUAAGGCUAAAUACUCUCUAGUGACCGAUAGUGAACCAGUACCGUGAGGGAAAGGUGAAAAGCACCCCGGAAGGGGAGUGAAAUAGAACCUGAAACCGUGUGCUUACAAGUAGUCAGAGCCCGUUAAUGGGUGAUGGCGUGCCUUUUGUAGAAUGAACCGGCGAGUUACGAUUUGAUGCAAGGUUAAGCAGUAAAUGUGGAGCCGUAGCGAAAGCGAGUCUGAAUAGGGCGUUUAGUAUUUGGUCGUAGACCCGAAACCAGGUGAUCUACCCUUGGUCAGGUUGAAGUUCAGGUAACACUGAAUGGAGGACCGAACCGACUUACGUUGAAAAGUGAGCGGAUGAACUGAGGGUAGCGGAGAAAUUCCAAUCGAACCUGGAGAUAGCUGGUUCUCUCCGAAAUAGCUUUAGGGCUAGCCUCAAGUGAUGAUUAUUGGAGGUAGAGCACUGUUUGGACGAGGGGCCCCUCUCGGGUUACCGAAUUCAGACAAACUCCGAAUGCCAAUUAAUUUAACUUGGGAGUCAGAACAUGGGUGAUAAGGUCCGUGUUCGAAAGGGAAACAGCCCAGACCACCAGCUAAGGUCCCAAAAUAUAUGUUAAGUGGAAAAGGAUGUGGCGUUGCCCAGACAACUAGGAUGUUGGCUUAGAAGCAGCCAUCAUUUAAAGAGUGCGUAAUAGCUCACUAGUCGAGUGACACUGCGCCGAAAAUGUACCGGGGCUAAACAUAUUACCGAAGCUGUGGAUUGUCCUUUGGACAAUGGUAGGAGAGCGUUCUAAGGGCGUUGAAGCAUGAUCGUAAGGACAUGUGGAGCGCUUAGAAGUGAGAAUGCCGGUGUGAGUAGCGAAAGACGGGUGAGAAUCCCGUCCACCGAUUGACUAAGGUUUCCAGAGGAAGGCUCGUCCGCUCUGGGUUAGUCGGGUCCUAAGCUGAGGCCGACAGGCGUAGGCGAUGGAUAACAGGUUGAUAUUCCUGUACCACCUAUAAUCGUUUUAAUCGAUGGGGGGACGCAGUAGGAUAGGCGAAGCGUGCGAUUGGAUUGCACGUCUAAGCAGUAAGGCUGAGUAUUAGGCAAAUCCGGUACUCGUUAAGGCUGAGCUGUGAUGGGGAGAAGACAUUGUGUCUUCGAGUCGUUGAUUUCACACUGCCGAGAAAAGCCUCUAGAUAGAAAAUAGGUGCCCGUACCGCAAACCGACACAGGUAGUCAAGAUGAGAAUUCUAAGGUGAGCGAGCGAACUCUCGUUAAGGAACUCGGCAAAAUGACCCCGUAACUUCGGGAGAAGGGGUGCUCUUUAGGGUUAACGCCCAGAAGAGCCGCAGUGAAUAGGCCCAAGCGACUGUUUAUCAAAAACACAGGUCUCUGCUAAACCGUAAGGUGAUGUAUAGGGGCUGACGCCUGCCCGGUGCUGGAAGGUUAAGAGGAGUGGUUAGCUUCUGCGAAGCUACGAAUCGAAGCCCCAGUAAACGGCGGCCGUAACUAUAACGGUCCUAAGGUAGCGAAAUUCCUUGUCGGGUAAGUUCCGACCCGCACGAAAGGCGUAACGAUUUGGGCACUGUCUCAACGAGAGACUCGGUGAAAUCAUAGUACCUGUGAAGAUGCAGGUUACCCGCGACAGGACGGAAAGACCCCGUGGAGCUUUACUGUAGCCUGAUAUUGAAAUUCGGCACAGCUUGUACAGGAUAGGUAGGAGCCUUUGAAACGUGAGCGCUAGCUUACGUGGAGGCGCUGGUGGGAUACUACCCUAGCUGUGUUGGCUUUCUAACCCGCACCACUUAUCGUGGUGGGAGACAGUGUCAGGCGGGCAGUUUGACUGGGGCGGUCGCCUCCUAAAAGGUAACGGAGGCGCUCAAAGGUUCCCUCAGAAUGGUUGGAAAUCAUUCAUAGAGUGUAAAGGCAUAAGGGAGCUUGACUGCGAGACCUACAAGUCGAGCAGGGUCGAAAGACGGACUUAGUGAUCCGGUGGUUCCGCAUGGAAGGGCCAUCGCUCAACGGAUAAAAGCUACCCCGGGGAUAACAGGCUUAUCUCCCCCAAGAGUUCACAUCGACGGGGAGGUUUGGCACCUCGAUGUCGGCUCAUCGCAUCCUGGGGCUGUAGUCGGUCCCAAGGGUUGGGCUGUUCGCCCAUUAAAGCGGUACGCGAGCUGGGUUCAGAACGUCGUGAGACAGUUCGGUCCCUAUCCGUCGUGGGCGUAGGAAAUUUGAGAGGAGCUGUCCUUAGUACGAGAGGACCGGGAUGGACAUACCUCUGGUGUACCAGUUGUCGUGCCAACGGCAUAGCUGGGUAGCUAUGUGUGGACGGGAUAAGUGCUGAAAGCAUCUAAGCAUGAAGCCCCCCUCAAGAUGAGAUUUCCCAACUUCGGUUAUAAGAUCCCUCAAAGAUGAUGAGGUUAAUAGGUUCGAGGUGGAAGCAUGGUGACAUGUGGAGCUGACGAAUACUAAUCGAUCGAAGACUUAAUCAA